GGGGCUGUCCUUGGCUUCCUUUGAUUAAAAAAUCGGACAGGGAAGCCAGGGACUGGCCCCGUUUUCCUCUAAAAUAAAUUUGAUCGUUUUUAGGUUAUUGGGGCUGCCCUUGGCUUCCGUUGAUUAAAAAAUCGAACAGGGAAGCCAAGGGCUAGUCCCGAUUUCCUCUAAAUAUAAAUUUUGUUCAUUAAGGAAAAUCGGGGCUGUAGCUCAGUUGGGAGAGCACUUGCAUGGCAUGCAAGGGGUCAGGGGUUCAACUCCCCUCAGCUCCACAA
rnacentral:sRNA from 1 species